GUCAAACCUAAUAUAAAAAAAUUGUUAAAUCAAUGCAAUACCACACAUCCAUUCAGCCAGAUGGUCAAGUAGUAAUGUGUUGGUAUGCCAAGCUGGAGGACCCGGAUUCAUGUCUCGCAUUGGUUAUCUCCUGAAAAGUUUUUUGGGGUUCUGGGCCUGGCUAGUGAUCCUCAUCCUUCACCACCCAGUCCUCCUCUAUAGGUGUGGGUGCAGCUCACAGUUAGAACUGGCACUGCCCCUUAAUAAUACAUUGAUUAGAAACAGGUGUAAAAAUGAAAAAAAAUCACAUAUCCAAUUAAAAAUUCUUUCUGUAUUUGUUUGGUUAUGUAACAUGUAAUUAAUAAGCAC
rnacentral:lncRNA from 1 species